GGCGGUGCGGCCGGCGCCCUUGGGCUCCUUGCGGCCGUUGGCCGGGCGGUGCCCAACGGGAGGUGCCUCCGGCACUGCCCCGUUCCUGCGGCCGGGGAGGGAGCCCCUGGUCUCCCGCCGCGGUAGUGGUUCUUAGGGCCAGCCGCGCCGCCGGGGAUUUACCCACCCUCCCGGCCUUGCUGUUCGGAAAAAUUUUUAGAUCUGCACGUCUAGAGCCCGUAAGGAAUUUGGUUUAUGUCGUCUGUGCCCUUUUAUGGGUUUCUCCGGACUACCCUCACAGCUGGUGUGUCCCGGAGGGGACGUCGGAUUAGGGAUCCGCAGCAGAGCAAGGCCCACUUCAGGCUCGGGACUGCGGGGCCGCCGACAGCUUGGUCGUAGGGAAGGCCCCGCCGGCGACCUGGGGUGAUAAGCGGCUCUCCUGGCAAGGGGAGCCGUUCUGCUCUGCCUCCUCUGAGGCUCUCCUGGCAAGGGGAGCCGUUCUGCUCUGCCGCCUCUGAGGCUCUCCUGGCAAGGGGAGCCGUUCUGCUCUGCCGCCUCUGAGGCUCCGUCACAGGCCUUCGGAUCAGGUGAUCUGGUAGUAUACAAACUGGCAAGGAUGUAUUCUAAGCGUUCCGGGUUUGGAUUCUACGUUUUCCUUUCCCGGACUGGAAUAUCCUCUCCAUGGCAGCAGAUGGUUUUGUGGUAACUGUCGGUGAAAAUAAAUGCACCACUGGCUGGAAUCCAUCUGCUUGCAAUCAACCUAAAGAAGAGUUAUGCAUCUGGGAGCCUGCCCACGUUCUUUAACCAAAUUAUUCAGUGUGACGCAAGAUGCAACUUCUACCUACCAGCUUUACCUUAUGACAGGAGUCAACUGUCUGUUCAUGUAAACCUCCCCUUGUUACUCCAGUGGCAUAGCAACCACAAUCUGUAGUGCCAGGGGACCAUAUCUCAUGAGAGCGGAGGACUACCUACCUCUCCAAGGAACUGAGCCAACUACUUCUCCCACUCCUGCCUGCCAGUUUAAGGAAGAGCACUGAGUUUAAAUAGCCUGUGGAAUGGAGAUCUUCUCAUGGACACAAGUUCGGUGCACCUGCAGAAAAUGCCAUCUAAAGCUGCAGAAUCAAACCAAGACAAGAUUCUAUCAAAAACCAUAAAAGAAAAUAAAUUGCAUACAUACCCAAAAUUGAAAUAGUCUAAAUUUGCAAGAUGUCUUUGGGCUGUUGAGAUUUUGUUGUUUUAUUUCUUAGUGGCAUUGUAGGUUUUUCAUCAAAGGUGUAUUCCAUUUUCAUUUUAGUUCUGAAUAGCAACAGGUACAUUAUCACUUCCAUCCCAGGACUUUCAUCUGAAUGAAAGGAAGCUAAGGAAAAUAAGUUUGACCUUAUUCCUGAACUGCUGCAGUGCAGUGCCUACAGGAGAGGGCAAUCUAGUUCUUGUAUGUCAUAUGCUUCCACUUCUUCUCUUAUAUAUGAUUUGACAGUUCUAUAGUGACUGCACAAUCUGUGGCAUUCAGCUUAUCCACAGGAAGACUAAAUGACCAAACCAAUUUUCCAUCAGAUCAAAAAAACAAUCAGUCUUACUGUGGACACAGAGUUAUAAUUACUGCAGGGGAAGGAGGAAGACAUGUGGCUAGGGAAAGGAGUGGAAUUGCCUGUUCUAAUAAUACGCUGUGAUGACCAAUUUGUAGUAAUUGUCAAAUCAUGUUUUUUGACACCAGUAGUCCUCUAACUUUUAAAUCCUUCAACAAUAAAUACCUAUAAAGGUAAAAACCUGUAAAAAAUUACAAUAAUGAAGACUGGGUAGGACUAUAUUCCAUUAAAUAGAUGAACGCAUUAAAAAAGCACAAGGUCAUGUAAUUAUUAAAAGUUCUUCCACAUCAAAAGCAUCUGUUUCUAUAGCCCAUGUGAGCAGCUUGGUCACUGUGUCUAUUGAAUACAACGGUUCAGGUGCUGCUUAGUGAUAAUAGCUGUAAGAUUCAGAUAUAAUUUUAUUUUACCUCUAAAGACUACAAACUGAAGGCUUCUCAAGUAAGCUCAAAAGUUAUAGGAAUACCUAGUUAUUUUGUUAUUAAGAAUACACAGAAGCAACUCUUGACUUCCUAACCAAUGAAGCAGUUUUCAGAAUUAAGCAGCUGUUUAGGUCUGGCUAGUCUAGAAGCUCCUCUCAUGUAGCAUGGGGGAAAAAAAUCCUGUAUUCUGUAAACAUGAAACAGUAACAUGGCAGUGACAGAAAUAGCUUUUUUUUUCACUUUUAUCUCACUGACCUUUCUCCCACGGAACAGAGAUUGCACCACAAUGUACGUUUUAGAUGUAGCACACUCAAAGCUUUAUUUCAUGACAGUAACACUUGUUAAAACUUGAACUGAUGAAAACUCACCACUCUUUGUGCUGUCCUAGUGAUGAUACUCACACAAGCUUCAUUGGUGACUAGUAAUAAUCACAUCUACUAUGUGCUCUUUUCUAGCUCUUCCAACAUCUUGCAACACAUCGAGUUCAUGCCAUUGGUACCUUCCCAUAAAAUUUCCACCUAAUCAGCUACAUUUUAAAAGAAAGCCAUUUGUCAAAAAAUCCUUCAAAGUUAUCUUCUAUAGUAAUACCCUUUCUUUGCUAAUUGCAAAGCUUUGGUCCAUCUUUAAAAACCAGGAUAACAGUUUAAUCUCCCUAUCCACUCAAUCUUAAAAUAAUGAGUUCCUGCUGGUUUUUUUCAGUUGUUGAAAUGAUGUUCACACCACAGUCUUCAUCCUUAGUUUUCAGUUAGGAAAACUGACGUUUCUCAUUAGUACCUACAUACUAACAUUGUGCUUUUGUUGACUCUGCAGUAGCUGUUGCUCUCUUAAGUCUCAAAUGUUGCAGUAGAAUUUAACAAAAUAAAUAAAUCUACAGACAGAAAA